AACGAACGCUGGCGGCAUGCCUAACACAUGCAAGUCGAACGAGACCUUCGGGUCUAGUGGCGCACGGGUGCGUAACGCGUGGGAACCUGCCCUUAGGUUCGGAAUAACUCCCCGAAAGGGGUGCUAAUACCGGAUAAUGUCUUCGGACCAAAGAUUUAUCGCCUUUGGAUGGGCCCGCGUUGGAUUAGCUAGUUGGUAGGGUAAAAGCCUACCAAGGCGACGAUCCAUAGCUGGUCUGAGAGGAUGAUCAGCCACACUGGGACUGAGACACGGCCCAGGCUCCUACGGGAGGCAGCAGUGGGGAAUAUUGGACAAUGGGCGAAAGCCUGAUCCAGCAAUGCCGCGUGAGUGAUGUAGGCCUUAGGGUUGUAAAGCUCUUUUACCCGGGAUGAUAAUGACAGUACCGGGAGAAUAAGCUCCGGCUAACUCCGUG
rnacentral:rRNA from 1 species